CCUUCUGAAGAGACAGGAACCUCUCUGCACCUACAUGUUGAUGAGACAGGAACCUCUCUGCACCUACAUGUUGAUGAGACAGGAACCUCUCUGCUCCUACAUGUUGAUGAGACAGGUCCUUCUGAAGAGACAGGAACCUCUCUGCACCUACAUGUUGAUGAGACAGGUCCUUCUGAAGAGACAGGAACCUCUCUGCUCCUACAUGUUGAUGAGACAGGUCCUUCUGAAGAGACAGGAACCUCUCUGCACCUACAUGUUGUUGAGACAGGUCCUUCUGAAGAGACAGGAACCUCUCUGCUCCUACACUGCUGCACAGAAACAUAUCUUUCAUCACAGACCACCUCGUUAGAUCACUGAGCUGAGCCAGAGACUGGGCUAUCUCUCUGCUAAAUCACAAUGUUUAUUAAAUCAGGGUUGUUUAUUUCUCGUUAUCGCUCCCUGUUGGUAUGUGGUGGGGGGAGGAGAGGGAGAGUGCGGCUCUUUAACACUAAUGUGGGUAAUAUCUCUGUCGUUUACAGUAGCCUGGGGAGGGAGGGAUGGAUGUUACACUGAAAGGCGAGAGGAAAGAAGUAGCACAUGCCACACCUCCCUGUCACUCAGUGGUCGCUAUGGAGCCUGCCGUGGUUGCCAUGGUGUUGUCGGGGAGGGGCAGUAGGAGAGGUUAAAGGAGACAGAAGAGUGACAUCAUACUCUCUGUCAGCUGCGGGGGGCUUUAUCAUUGACGUGAAGCGUCCAGAACGUUGCAGAUAGAAAUAGAUUAACUACAGCUGGAACGACUCCCUGUUCUACAUAACAGACCUGACUGUGUUUGUUCUACACAAUACAUUUCUACAUCCUGAGAUGGUGGAGGCUGAUUUAAAAGACGUUCUCGCUCUCAAGGGGCUUUAUUGGCACGGGAAACAUGUUUACAAGUGGGAAAUAUUCAACAAAAGUGAGAAGGCAAAAACAUCAACAACAAAACGAUUUUAGAAUUUAACAGUAAACAUUUGCACUCAAAAACGUUUUUUACAAAAAAAAUAUCAACAUUUCAAAUAGUCUGUGUUUUGAUUUUUUUCUUUUCAAAUUCUUUAUGUUUCUGUGUGAAAUAUGUAUCUGUAAUGUGGUUAUACAUUUAGCAUGAGGUCAGGAAGUGCAGCUCAGUCUCUCACUCUCAGGGCUCUGGCAGACCAAGAUCACGGACACAGCUGAUACUCCUAGACACACACAUUGUGUUAAUGGUGCUGUCACUACACACACACACACACACACACACACACACACACACACACACACACACACACACACACACACACACAGACGACAUGUAUGCAUCAGGUGCAUGUUGUAUGGACCAGGCCACAGAGGUUAUAGUUCAGGGUUCAACCUCCUUCACUCAACGACAGGGUUUGUUUUUAUUUUGACUUAUUCCUUCCUUUUUUUCUUUAUUUUUUUUUUUUAUAGAAAUGAUUUUUUUUUUUAUAGCUUUUUUUUUUGUUACUCAAGACGAGAGGGUUUUUAAAAGCAUAAAUGAAGGUUGACGAUGUGUUUAUAGCGGUAACGGUGGUGAUGUGCGUUGUAGGCUGUUUGAUGGAAUCACAUGAAACUGUUUCAACACUGAGAUGAAGACCUACUGUUAAGCGUUGAGCUGUAAUAAAAUAUUAACCGAAA